rnacentral:rRNA from 1 species
UACGUAGGGUGCGAGCGUUAAUCGGAAUUACUGGGCGUAAAGCGUGCGCAGGCGGUUUUGUAAGCCAGAUGUGAACUCCCCGGGCUUAACCUGGGAACUGCAUUGGUGACUGGCAGGCUUUGAGUGUGGCAGAGGGAGGUAGAAUUCCACGUGUAGCAGUGAAAUGCGUAGAGAUGUGGAGGAAUACCGAUGGCGAAGGCAGCCUCCUGGGCCAACACUGACGCUCAUGCACGAAAGCGUGGGGAGCAAACAGG